UUGAAAGCUAUGAUCGGGAAUAGUACGAUGACAGGCUGCUUUAAAGAGAGGGAACCAUUUGGUGAAAGGUCCCAAGCCAGCAGCAUCGGAAGUCGCCCAGGAGCUGUUUCCGUGAACGUAAGCCAGAUAGUAGCGGAAACCGGCAAGAGCCGUUAUCUUAUUUGAGAGCCGUAGAAUGGGUACAUAUUUGCUGUAUCAUUUUUCGGAAAAAAGGUGGCACCGCGAACAACUUCCUUCGUCCUUUUG
rnacentral:ncRNA from 1 species